UACGUAGGGUGCGAGCGUUGUCCGGAAUUAUUGGGCGUAAAGAGCUUGUAGGUGGCUCGUCGCGUCGGGAGUGAAAACCCGCGGCUUAACCGCGGGCCUGCUUUCGAUACGGGCGGGCUAGAGUUCGGCAGGGGAGACUGGAAUUCCUGGUGUAGCGGUGGAAUGCGCAGAUAUCAGGAGGAACACCGAUGGCGAAGGCAGGUCUCUGGGCUGACACUGACGCUCAUGCACGAAAGCGUGGGGAGCAAACAGG
rnacentral:rRNA from 1 species